ACAAUUGCUUUCUUUGAGCUCUUUCACAAUGAUCCUCAAGUUAAUGCAUGGUUGGAUCGUGUAUGCUGUUUGGUUUCUUAUUUGAUUGUGUUGUGAGCUUGAUAUGUUUAGAAUUUAGAAUGCUUUAGUUGAUGACUAAACUCAAUGGACAUCCCCUCCAUUUCCUUUUCACUAACCCACCAUCCCUAUCGCAGGAGGUGUCCCACGUUGUUAGAGAAGCACAUAGGGUGGCUACACCCUCCAUCUACAUACAAGCAUAUUAAUCAUACAUGUAUAAUAGAAGAAUAGCAAUAGCAAUCCCAUGAAGCGGGGUUUAAGGAACCCACGAAGGGUCACAUACAUACAUGCAUGUAUUUAUAUUUUAUAAAUAAUAAUAAUAAAAGUUGUUAAAAAGAAA